rnacentral:misc_RNA from 1 species
GUACACUACUGUUGGAUACUUACUGUGAACCCAAUCCCCAUGAGGUCAUUUACAACAAAAACAGGAUUAUUGGUAACAUGAUCAAAUCUGGGAACUUACAUGCUGCUCACAAUCUAUUCGAUGAAAUGGUUAUACGUGAUGUUGUUACAUAUAACUUGCUGAUUUCUGGGCAUGGUAAAUAUGGAAUCCCGCAACAGGCUCUCUAUCUUUACUCUGAGAUGGUUUCACAAGAAAUCAGAGAAAGCCCAUCAACGUUUUCUUCUGUUUUAAGUAUAUGUAGUGACUCGGGGUUUUCCAGAGAAGGAAUUCAAGUUCACUGCAGAGUUAUUAAACUUGGGUUCGAUUUCAAUUUGUACAUUGGCAGUUCACUUGUUGGUCUUUAUAUGCGCAUGGGACUCGAUGAUUUAGCUUUGAGUUUGUUUGGUGAAUUGCCUGAGAGAAAUUUAGCGACAUGGAAUUUGGUUUUACGCUCGAUUUGUGAGCUAGGUCGAUUUGAUGACUUGUUAGGAUUGUACAACAAAAUGAAACUGGAUAAUGUGGAGGCAAAUGGGCUUAGUUUUUGCUAUUUGAUCCGUGGAUGUUCUGACGAGAGGUUUUUCAAUGAAGGGAGGCAAUUGCACUGUCAUGUGAUCAAGGUUGGACGGGCAAACUCAAAUAUUUUUGUGGCUAAUGCUUUGGUGGAUUUUUACUCUGCAUGUGGGAGUUUAAAUGAAGCAAAGAAAUCGUUUCAAGCUAUUCCACUGGAGGAUGUUUUAUCGUGGAAUUCAAUAUUAUCAGUGCAUGCUGAUAAUGGAUUAUUUUUUUAUGCUCUUGACUUAUUUUACACAAUGCAGUUUUGGGGCAAGAAACCAUCAAUUCGUUCAUUUGUGGCGUUCUUAAAUCUAUCUAGUAUGAAUGGCAAUAUUCUAUUUGGAAAGCAGAUUCACUGUUAUGUCUUGAAGAUGGGUUUUGACAAUGGGAGUGUGCAUGUACAAUCUGCAUUAAUUGACAUGUAUGGAAAAUGUGGAGACAUUAAGAAUUCAGUAUCCGUGUAUGAAAGUCUUCCUAAAACAACUAUGGAGUGUUGUAACUCACUAAUGACAUCUUUGUUGCACUGUGGCAUUGUUGAUGACGUGGUUGAGAUGUUUGGUUUGAUGGUUGACGAAGGAGUUGGACUUGAUGGGGUUACAUUUUCCACGAUGUUGAAAGCAUUAUCACAGUCGGUUUUAGCAAGCUUGGCCAGCUGCAGAUUGGUGCAGUGUUGUGCAAUAAAAUUAGGUUUUGAAUCUAAUGUUUCAGUUUCUUGCUCACUGAUUGAUGCAUAUUCAAGGUCUGGUCAUGUUCAACUGGCACUACAGGUUUUUCAACAACUUUCUUCCCCAAAUGUUUUCUGUUUCACAUCAAUCAUCAAUGGAUUUGCCCGGAAUGGAUUGGGAAGAGAAUGUCUUGAGAUGCUUGAAGCCAUGAUUCAAAAGGGUUUAAAGCCUGAUAAAGUGACUUUCCUGUGUGUGUUAACUGGGUGCAGCCACUCUGGGUUGGUGGAAGAAGGAAGAUUGGUUUUCAAUUCAAUGAAAUCUCUACAUGGGAUUUCCCCAGACACAGAGCAUUUUUCGUGUAUGGUAGAUCUGUUGGGGCGAGCAGGUCUGCUAGAUGAAGCUGAAGAAUUGCUGCAACAGGCACCAGAAAGGGGUAAUUGUGUGAUGUGGAGCUCGUUGUUGCAAAGUUGUAGGGUUCAUAGGAAUGAAAUGGUGGGAAAAAGUGCAGCAAAAGUAUUAUUGGAACUUGAUCCAGAAGAUUUUGUAGUUUAUUUGCAAGUAUCAAACUUUUUUUCUGAGAUUGGGGAAUUUGAGGCCUCAAUGCAGAUUAGAGAGAUUGCUAUGGCAAGGAAGAUGACGAAGGAAAUUGGUCACAGUUUAAUUGAUUCGAAUAGUUGCUAUUAAAAUUUGGAAUUCUGUACCAAUAGCAAGUCAGCCAUCAGUCUUGGUGCAUCAGAUAGCACAUGCAGUAAUGUCAAACUUUGUUUUCAUGAGUUGCAGGAAGUGUGGUAUAUAACAACAUUGGCAUGCUUGAGGAACUUGAAAGAUUUGAAAUAGAUGAAGAAAAUGGUGUGGAACUUUCUGAUACCCCUUCAUGGACAAGCGAACGUGGACGCAGGGUACUCGUGAAUGUCGAUAGCUUUGGUGCAGUUGCAGAUGGAGUUUCUGAUCACACCCAGGCCUUUGUUAAAGCUUGGCAGACAGCCUGUGCUACACCAAAAUCAGUUAUUUUGGUUCCUCCAGGACGCCGUUAUUUAGUCAAUGCAACAAAAUUUAAGGGGCCUUGUGAGGAUGGAUUGAUCAUCCAGAUAGAUGGAACUAUAAUAGCACCUGAUGAGCCUAAGAACUGGGAUCCUAACCUUCCACGACUCUGGCUUGAUUUCUCUAAACUGAAUGGAGUUCUUUUCCAAGGGAAUGGACUUAUUGAUGGUUCAGGGAGAAAAUGGUGGAAGUCAUCUUGUAAAAAGAACAAGUCAAAUCCUUGCAGAGAAGCACCAACAGCAUUAACUAUUGAUUCAAGCUCAUCUGUGAAGGUAAGAGGCUUGACUAUCCAAAACAGCCAACAGAUGCAUUUUGUGAUCUCCCGGUGUUCAUCCGUGCGAGUAUCUGAUGUACUAGUCUCGGCUCCAGAAGACAGUCCUAAUACUGAUGGAAUUCAUAUUACUGAAUCAACUAAUGUUAUUCUUCAAGGCUGCAAAAUUGGAACUGGUUCUUGAAUCUCAUCUUGUUCUUCUAUUUUUCAUUUUCAUUUGUACAAGAGUAAAUACUAAAAUGGAGAUACAACUAACAUUUAUUUUAUACAUUUUUAAGCAAUUGCUUCCAUAGAUAUGAGAUAAGGGGAAACAUGCAAAGACUCUAAUAACAGAAAAUACAUUCAGAACCACUGCGUCCAUGAAGUUCCUAUGGGAAAAAAAUUGCACUGUUGCAUGGUUGUUGAUAUCAUGGGGUAAAUAUACUGAAAGAGAGUCUGAUCUAGUUAUGUUACUUGUGAUAUUCAGGUGAUGAUUGCAUUUCAAUUGUCAAUGGUAGCUCUGGCAUAAAGAUGAAGAGAAUUUAUUGUGGACCAGGACAUGGAGUCAGUAUUGGAAGUCUAGGGAAGGACAACUCCACUGGCAUAGUCACAAAAGUGGUCUUGGAUACAGCAUUUCUCAAAGAGACAGCCAAUGGCCUCAGGAUUAAGACAUGGCAGGGAGGCAAUGGUUAUGUUCGUGGAAUCCGUUUUGAAAAUGUAAAGGUGGAAGAUGUUGCAAAUCCCAUCAUUAUUGAUCAAUUCUACUGUGAUUCCCCAAAAGCCUGCAAAAACCAGACAUCUGCUGUAAAAAUAAGUGAGAUUGUGUACCGGAAUGUUACUGGCACCACAAAGAGUGCAAAGGCCAUGAAAUUUGCCUGCAGUGACACAGUCCCUUGUAGUAAUAUAGUCGUGAGUAACAUCAACUUAGAGAAGAAAGAUGGCACGGUGGAGACUUACUGCAAUGCCGCCCAAGGCUUUGGAUAUGGUAUUAUUCAUCCUUCAGCUGACUGCCUAACUUCCCAAGACAAAGACUACUGUGGUGUUGGUCCGACAGAUAUUGCUGAAGACUAUGUCACUGAUCAGACCGAAAUCACAGAGCUUGCAGAAUCCAGCAGUGAGGCUAUUGUUCACACCGAGCUCUGACAUGGCUUCCUUCAGAAAAUAAAAUAACCAUACUAUAGCCUUUAAUAUAGCAAUAUACUAAAGUGGGAAGUUGGAAUGUAGUUUACUAGCAUAGAUAUCUUGAGGAAGAUUGAGGUGCUCAUGCUGAAAUUGAUGGGAUUUUUACGUUGCAUAUUUAGCUAUACAUACAAAUUUCUCUGAAUCUUAUCAUUAAGAAAAUUGUAUUUUGAAGGAAAAAUAUAAAGUUAUUGAGAUUUA